AUAUUCAGGCAAGGAAACACCACUGCAGGGGGGAAGUUAGGUAACUUACCCAGGGUUACACAGAUAGUGAGUGGCAGAGCUAGGACACAUGCUUGGGCCAGUUCAGUUUCAAGGCUGAUUGCUUCACCGCAACUCACCCUCCACCACCUCCCAUUGCUCCCCACUUGCAAGAAGUCACUGAGUCCAGAAGACAACCAAGGAUUCUGCGCUUGCUCUCAACUGGAAACAAUUGGAUCAAACUUCCCAUGUUAAGUUGCCCAGUUUUCCUGGUCAGAGCCAGAGUAGGGGAAGUAGGGACACAGAUCUCCCAUGCUGAACCUUAGCAAGCAAGCCUAUGGCACUUGCUUAAUCUCUGCGAUCUUACUUUGCAGUUGUGGUUAGAGGUAAUUUUAAAUAUGUCCCAGAUGUGACUAGAGGGUAUUGAGCAGGUCUCCGCAUGGGAGAGCUGGGCCAUGUGUGCACCAGCACCUUGGGCUGGCUCAGGAAGUGGGUCUAUCAGCUGAAACGUAACAAACUUCCUUUUCCCUCUGGCCAGAGGAAACACAAGGUGGAAUGGGGGAGGGGGUUGCAGCUGGCUUGAGUUGAAUGGCUGGGAGGAGAGGGCUCCCAAAGGAAAAACAUCAAAACAUGUUCUGAUGUUCUGUCUCUCUGCAGUGUGCUGGGGUAUGCAUGGGGUUCAAAGUCAGGUAGAUUUGGGCCUGCCACUUUACAUCUGUAGCUGAUGUUUAAAGGAGAUGAUAAAAAUGCUGCAACCCAGAUAAUGAUCACCUUACUCUUCAAAAAUACUGCCCAAGGUACUGCUGAUUAUCAUUACCUCUCUGUAUCUGGUCUCUUUCACUACAUGGUAGGAAAUUAUGUAUGGUGGGUUGAAUGGCUGCCCCUGUCCCGACCCCCUGCACUCCCUCCAUCCCCCGUCUUCCUACCCCCAACAAAAUAUGUGUCCAUUUGGACCCUGAGAAUGUGUUCACCUUGAAUCUGUGAAUGUGAGGCAGGAGAAUAGGGUCUGGAGGCUGGGAAUAUAAGGCCAAUUCAUGCUGACUUCCUAGAACUAAAUCAAAUGGAAACACUUCAGCUAUGACAAGAAAAAUCCUCUCUAUUUACAUAGGGAUUACACUGAGUAAAUGACUUUGUAACUUUACUUCAUCCUCUUCAUUUACAUAGGGCAUACACCAAGUAACCAGUGGAAACCUCUAGAUGGUAUUUAAACCCCAGAAAAUUCUGUAAACGGGGGUUUGAGCCCCUAUGCUUGGGCCUGCUCCCAUCCUGUGGACCGUAUUUUCAUUUUCAAUAGAUCUCUGCUUUUUUUGCAUCAUUCUUUCCUUGCUUUGUGCGUUUUGUCCAGUUCUUUGUUCAAGAUGCCAAGAACCUGGAUACUCUCCACUGGUAACAAAUAUGACUUUGUUUUUAGCAAGCAACUUUGCAGUGUAAUUAAGUUAAGGAUCUUGAGAUGAGAUCAUCUUAGAAUAUCUGGGUGGGCCCUAAAUCCAAUGACAAGUGUCCUCAUAGGAAGGGAAGAUACACACAGAGGAGAAGGUGGUGUGAAGAUGGAAGCCAAGACUGUUGAUACCAGUUGGAGAGCACCAAGAACUACCCGCAGCCACUGAAAGCUAGGAGAGAGGCAUAGGACUGUCUCCUUCAGACCCUCCAGAAAGACCAAACCUGCCUGCGCCUUGAUUUCAGACUUUUGGCCUCCCACAUUGUGAGAGAAUAAAAUUUUGUUUUUGAA